rnacentral:rRNA from 1 species
UACAGAGGCCCCAAGCGUUACUGAGAAUCACUGGGUUUAAAGGGUGCGUAGGUGGCGCGUAAGUUCGUUGUGAAAUCCCUGGGCUCAACCCAGGAAUUGCUUCGAAUACUGGCGUGCUUGAGGCUAGUAGGGGUCACUGGAACUGACGGUGGAGCGGUGAAAUGCGUAGAUAUCGUCAGGAACGCCGAUGGUGAAGACAGGUGACUGGGCUAGUUCUGGACACUGAGGCACGAAAGCGUGGGGAGCGAACGGGA